GAACAAAAAAAAAAAAAUUAAUCCUCAUCCGCACACGGUAAAGUGGCUACGAAAGCAGCUGAACAGAAGGCUCGAAUUACCUGCCUUUUUCUGCUUCUUAAAAGAAAAACGUCUCAGCCAAAAGGCUGCGAGCUGAUACACGUUUCUGUAUAGCUAGUCUCCUAAAUGAGGUUUCAACAUUCAGAACUCCGCUCCAGGGAAGAGAAGGGAGAAGACUCUGCAGGGAUAACUUGCGGCAGAAGCUGCUGAUGGCUGUCAGGGACCCUCCAGACAGCUCCCACGCAUCCGCUUCUGCCGUCUGAGCAGAGCCUGGAUGGCCAGGACCACCCACAGAGUUCCGCCGCCUGACACUCUGACCACCUCAGGCCUGAGAAAGCCGUCCGUCAGGCAAAGGGCGCAGUGCUGCCUCCGUCAGUUGUCCGGGACACGUCACUUUCUGUCUCCUCUCCCACUGUGAUCAGAGGCAGAAUGAGCCAUGAACCGCGGGUGCUCUCCUGGGAGUCACUUGCAGCAGAGAGAAGGAUGUGCGAAUUAAAAUUGUGUGAAAUCCUGCUUCCUCUCACACCAGGAGACUCGACGGAGAUGGCGAGGACUAACUCUCCUCCCGGUGACCGCCCGUCUCAGGCCCCACCCCCUCACCGAGCCCUGUCUCCUCCAUUGCUUCAUCUCCUGCUGCAGACUCUUCUAAAGACAACAGGAGCAGAGGGUCGCAGGGGCCCCACCCUGUCUGCCUUCAUGCUGCAAACGCUUCUCCCCAUCUCAGGACAGGUUCACUUUAAAAAAAAAA
rnacentral:lncRNA from 1 species